rnacentral:rRNA from 1 species
UACGAAGGGGGCUAGCGUUGCUCGGAAUCACUGGGCGUAAAGAGCUCGUAGGCGGUCUGUUGCGUCGGCUGUGAAAACCCGGGGCUCAACCCCGGGCCUGCAGCCGAUACGGGCAGACUAGAGUUCGGCAGGGGGAGACUGGAAUUCCUGGUGUAGCGGUGAAAUGCACAGAUAUCAGAGGGAACACCGGUGGCGAAGGCGGUGCUCUGGGCCAGUACUGACGCUGAAUAGCGAAAGCGUGGGUAGCGAACAGG